rnacentral:sRNA from 1 species
CCUUUCCCCUCAACUUCUUCCUGCCUGGCCGCAUGCAGCGGCAGUACAUGGAACGGCUACAGCUGCUGACCGGGGAGCACAGGCCUGAGGAUGAGGAAGAGCUGGAGAAGGAGGUAGCUCUGAGACCGGGGGCUAUUGUAUGAGAUGAGCCCCAAGGAUGCUGGCCAGGAAUGGGAGUGCUUAGGUGGGGAGGUGGCACUGCUCACGCAGCUGCAAGCCUACCUGUGUCGCCCCUACAGCUGUACCGAGAGGCUCGAGAGUGUCUGACCCUGCUCUCUCAGCGCCUGGGCUCUCAAAAGUUCUUCUUUGGAGAUGCCCCUGCCUCCUUGGACGCCUUCGUCUUUAGCUACUUGGCCCUGCUGCUGCAGGCAAAGCUGCCCAGUGGGAAGCUGCAGGUCCACCUGCGGGGGCUGCACAACCUCUGUGCCUAUUGUACCCACAUUCUCAGUCUCUACUUCCCCUGGGAUGGAGCUGAGGUACCACCGCAACGCCAGACACCAGCAGGCCCAGAGACUGAGGAGGAGCCAUACCGGCGCCGGAACCAGAUCCUAUCUGUGCUGGCAGGACUGGCAGCCAUGGUGGGCUACGCCUUGCUCAGUGGCAUUGUCUCCAUCCAGCGGGCAACGCCUGCUCGGGCCCCAGGCACCCAGACCCUGGGCAUGGCUGAGGAGGAUGAAGAGGAAUGAUUUGUCCUCAUGCUCCCAAGACUGGUUUUUCUACUCUCGUG